GUCACUGCUGGGUUUGGGGCCAACACUGUUUCUUUUGACUCAAGCAGAGAGAACUAAAGCCUUGUCUUUCUAUUCCUCCCUCGGCAGAGACAGAUAGAGGGAUACAGAGGUACUGAGAAGCCUCUGUGCCUUCAAGCACAAGCCAGUCAGUGUUGCAGUAAGAGAUACAGGCUACAGGGGGAUUCGUAACUAAUGGCGGAGGAGAGUGAGAGUGACAGAGGAGAUAUGGAGCGGAGGGCCCAGCAGUAAGAAGAAAUCAAAUGUGAGAGGGCAGCCCAGAUGACCAAGUGUCAACAUCUGGCCAUCAAAACAGGGUGCGGAGUACAUGAAAGAGACCAUGAUCCAGAGGACUCAGUGGACCAGACAGAUUGGGGCCAAAACAAUCGAGAUAGUCCGAGAGUAUCUGCAUCUGCUGGAUACUCCAGGCAUGGUGGGUAAAUUUCUUUACAAAAACACUAGACUUCAAUUUGAUUCUGUUUGCUGUGAUUAACUGGCCUGGUGCAGGGAGAGCUGUGACUACACUGGACUGGAAAGGAGGCUGCUUGUUAAUGCAAUAUUUGUGGAUAAAUUGUCCAACAGGGUUUGAUGGUUCUCUCAAAUGUUUUUUUUUAUGAUUUGAUGAUUGAGUGAUUGUUUGUCUGCCUACAGCAUAACACAAUUUGAAGUCAUAUGGGGCAGAGUCUCGCAAGCAUUAGAAACAGCAUAGGGUGUGGAUACGGUGGGAACAUGCGGAUCUGAGCAAGUGUGAUGUCACACA